AGUCACAUGGCCGAGUGGUUAAGGCGGUGGACUUAAGAUCCACUCCCGGAUGGGAUCGUGGGUUCGAACCCCACUGUGACUA